UUAAAAUCUGGUACGGAUCCACGUGAGCGGGUCUAAUCUUAUUUUAUUGAUUGACUACGUACCUGGUUCACGGCGGGUGUGACCGGUCAAUAGGGGACGCAUCUGACCCCAUCCUUGGUGUCUCCAUGGGUCUGUGUUUGCCCUACUCUCUAUUUUAAUGAAGACCAAAAACUACUGCCUCUGCUGCCAAGACCAACAGAACACGAGGCCAUAGCAAAAAGCUGGCAAAGAGAUAUCAGAGUACUCGUUUGGCCUGAGGGUAGUAAAUGAGUGGAACGGAUUGCCAGAUUGCAUUGUGUGCCAAAGACACCAACGAUUUUGUAAAAUAUUAACUAAAGAAUAGAGCAGAGCGGGAGUUACAGGCUACGUAGCCUUCUUCCUGUAGAAGAGGUAUCAAGGGAUGUCUUUUGACCAAGGUCAAGAGCAUGCGAUAAAAAAUGAAAAAUACUUUGUAACACAAAAGUUACGCUUGAAUGAUAAGAGAGCUGACAUUGCUUUUGAAGAUAAACUGUUAGGAAAGUAGUAGAAUUUUUUUUAGAGAGUCUGCGAAGGAUAUUCUGUAAUACUUUAUUUAUCACAGUAUCUAUAACUCUAUGAAUACUUUGAAAUUUUACCAAAUGAUUUGCUACAUGCAUUUGCCAUAAAGUAUGUUGGCAGCUAGGAAGUACUGCAGUUCAUACACACGUGCAUUUUAAAAAUGAAAUUUAUUUCUUACAUUUACACUUUACUUUUAUUUCGGUUGGAAUUCCCAGUCGUUUAUAUAGUCGAACUAUAUUUAUCACGAAUUUUUAAAAAAAAUCAAUUUCUUCAAAAUCUCGCCUCGGUUUUAAACACAUUUGAUAUCCUAGUCAAUAGAUCCCAUGAAUACGAGUUACCAGACCUAUACUGGAUUCCAAAUAUCCACAAAAUCCCUUAUAAACAAAGAUUCUUUGCAAGAUCCACUAAAUGCUAUAAACAAAGAUUCUUUGCAAGAUCCACUAAAUGCUCUACAAAGUAAUUAUCUUUGUUCCUCACAAAAACUGCUCUGAAGGAGAAACUCCAAGCGUAUUGUGCCACAACCUAUGCGAGAAGUGGUGUAUGUCAAAUGUGGAUUCUUAAAAAUUCUAAAGAACUUUUAGUAAAUCUGAAAUCAUUUAAUAACUAAAUCACAAAAUUUUCCCCAAAUCAACAACAUCAAAAUGUGUGACAUUUUCAACACUUUACUCGACCAUUCCUCACGAUAAAUCAACGCCUUGAGACAGAGCAUUUUGACAUCAUAUAUAGACAACUGCUUCUUCAAUAAAAAUGGAAGACGGAAUUAUUCAUAUCUUGUGACCAGUCAUCCAAAAAAUUACUUUGUUAAACACCACUAGUUGAUUCUACGUACAAGUACUCUGAAGGUGAUAGUUAAAAAAUGGAGUUCCUCAUUCACAAUAUCUAUGUGGUCUUUGGUGGUCUUCCAAAAGUCUGUUGAAUUUUCCAUGGGCACGAAUUGUGCUCUUUCAUUAGUUGACCUGAUUUUUUUUAUAUUCUUACGAGGCAAAAUUUAUUCAAAAUCUUCUACAUGUGAAGAAAAAAGUAUUUUGCUGUAGCCUUUAACUCGAGAUUUAGAUAUAUUUUGAAAGAUCAAUUUAUUCAGAAGUGGUCUUCUGAUAUUGAUGACUCUUCUAAGGGCCAGGUUUAUAAACUUUUCAAACAUUGUUUUGGUUUAGAGAAAUAUGUACUUACUCUGCCUGUAAAAUUAAGAAAAUUAUUUAUGAAAUUUCACACUUCCAAUCACCGAUUACCCAUAGAGACAGGAAGAUGGCAUGGUAUUCCCCUGAAUAAAAGACUAUGAACAUUUUGUAAUAAAGGAGAAAUAGGAGAUGAAUUCCAUUUUAUUUUACAGUGUCCAACUUUUUCACAAUUAAGGAAAAAAUACAUAGACAAAUUUUUUUAAUGAAAGACCAAAUGUUCUAAGUUUUCUUAUCUAUUGUCAACUCAAGAUAUGAAAAUAUUAAGAAAUCUCUGUGUUUUUAUUUUUGAGAUUGUUGUUCUUCGUAAUUGUUCUUCUGCUACUCCUUAAACGUAUUACUAAAUAUGUUUAUUUAUACAUACAUUGUAUUUCAUGUUUCCCUCUGGUAUUUAAGAAAGCUGUAUUAUUCCAUAUAUCAACCUCUGACGAUUUUCCUUGCAUGUACAUUGCAUUAUAUUUAUUGUACCUCAUGCACCGUUUAACAUGGUUUGAGCGAAAUAAAUUGAAUUGAAUUGAUA